GACUGGAAUAAAAGCGAGUUCUAGCUGGAGGUGGUUCACCUUUGUGAUCUGAAAGAAAAGGGGGUGUUUGAAGAGGCAGUACAGCGCCUCUUCAUUAUCAAACCCCAGCAGGACCUUAUGAUAAUUUUUAUAACUUCUUCAUUCAGAAUUCUGGGUGCUAUGAAGGUUAAUAACUUGUGUUUAUUGAAACUUCCCUUCAAGGAACAGAGAGCUUUGCUGGCAUUUUCUAUCAGAGGCACCACAGAACCAGGUUUGGGGUGGAGGGAGUGCAGACGAGAUUGUUCCAGUCCUGGAAAAUGGCAAGCAUUAAUAGCUCCAACUGAGAGUUUAAGUGAAUUUUAGGAAAGUGCAAGGUGAGUUUAAGUCAUCCAGGAAGAGAGAGAUUUGUAGUCCAGCCACAUCCAGUCUAGACACUCAACCUGCUACUAUGAGCUUAACCCCUAUGGUGCAGCUUUCUCCUCUGUGAAAGGGGUGUGAGUCUUUUAUAUUAGUGUUGCUUUGGGAUUUAGCAGGUGGGGGUGUAGAAGGGGAGUCAGGCUGGAGAAAGGGACCCUAAUGUCAAAAUUAACAUAUGACAGAAGUCAGGUGGCAGACAAAGACUGGAAACCCUUCCUUAGCUGGGCUGUAUGUAACAUGCAGAGCAUGCUUGUAAAAAGCAAGAGAAGGUAGGUGGUCUACGAAUGGUCAAGAGCUUCCUGGGUCAGCGAUUUUGAGUGUAUCUGGGCUCUUCCCCAGCUCACUAGCCCACUCCUGUUCUCAAGAGAGUGUUCCCUUCCUGGAUAAAAGAUGAUUUUAAAGCAUGUGUCCUCCCCGCUGGGACUCAAGAACCUGGAAACUUCAGCGGGUGUGCCUGGAACUCGGAUCCACAGCAGGAGCACAGGUGCAAGGUAUGAGAACGCAGCUUGGCCCAUUGUUCAUGCUCAGUGGGGAUGAGCAUCCUGGUCCCUCGUCCAGAGCAAAGAAUUAAUAGUCCCCAGCCCUGCAGAGGAGUCAGUUGUGUGUCUGAGACUCUGCAGAGAGAGGAGAGAUAUGGAGGAGGGUGUUUGCAGAUGAUGGAACAGCGGUCUUUUAUUUUUCCUUCACAGCUGACUACUGUGUGGAUACUCACCCUUCAUCUCCCAAACC
rnacentral:lncRNA from 1 species